rnacentral:tRNA from 1 species
GGGCGUUUUGAGGCUCAUUCCCCUAUGAAGGCCUGACGCUCGACAGCCUUCACACGGCAGGGGUCGCAGGUUCGAACCCUGCACCGCCCACCA